AUGAUUCACUUUGCAAGCUGCAAGGAACAAGAAUACACCACCAGCAUCGAUCAGGUAGCAGGAGCAAUGACAGGGUUUCCCUCUCCAUGCGGCGCAUGCAAGUUCCUUCGGAGGAAGUGCGUGAAUGGGUGUGUCUUCGCCCCACACUUCUGCCAUGAGCAAGGGGCUGCACAUUUUGCCGCCAUCCAUAAGGUCUUUGGUGCAAGCAAUGUCUCAAAGCUCCUCACGGGCCUCCCGUCAAUCGACCGCCGCGAGGCUGCAGCCACCAUCUCCUACGAGGCACAGGCCAGGCUACAUGAUCCUGUAUAUGGUUGCGUCGCGCACAUAUUUGCUCUGCAGCAGCAGGUUGUGAAUCUGCAAGCACGGUUGGAGUCACUAAAGGCUCAGGCACCACAAGAGUAUACUUAUUCCGUAUCAAGCCCUGAAGAAGAUAGUAUUAAGGCCAAGGUUAUGGCUUACCAGAAAGGGGAAGCUAGGAUGCCACGGCCAGCAGAAUUAUGCCCCGCUGUAAAGAGUGAGGGCGAAAGCUACUUCGGCAAUGACCUUAUGACCUGUACUUCCAUGCAAUCUUCUCAGGAUUACAGCAUGUCACAUGUAUACACACCUGACUAUACAGCCCCGUUUAACGAUGAGGGUAUCCACAGUAGCACCAUGUUUCCCGUCGAUAUCCAAGAAUAUCUGCAAGAGAAUGGGAAUUAUUGGCACUGA
rnacentral:rRNA from 1 species